rnacentral:rRNA from 1 species
GAUUUUGAUCCUGGCUCAGGAUGAACGCUGGCGGCGUGCUUAACACAUGCAAGUCGAACGAUGAUCCGGUGCUUGCACCGGGGAUUAGUGGCGAACGGGUGAGUAACACGUGAGUAACCUGCCCUUAACUCUGGGAUAAGCCUGGGAAACUGGGUCUAAUACCGGAUAUGACUCCUCAUCGCAUGGUGGGGGGUGGAAAGCUUUAUUGUGGUUUUGGAUGGACUCGCGGCCUAUCAGCUUGUUGGUGAGGUAAUGGCUCACCAAGGCGACGACGGGUAGCCGGCCUGAGAGGGUGACCGGCCACACUGGGACUGAGACACGGCCCAGACUCCUACGGGAGGCAGCAGUGGGGAAUAUUGCACAAUGGGCGCAAGCCUGAUGCAGCGACGCCGCGUGAGGGAUGACGGCCUUCGGGUUGUAAACCUCUUUCAGUAGGGAAGAAGCGAAAGUGACGGUACCUGCAGAAGAAGCGCCGGCUAACUACGUGCCAGCAGCCGCGGUAAUACGUAGGGCGCAAGCGUUAUCCGGAAUUAUUGGGCGUAAAGAGCUCGUAGGCGGUUUGUCGCGUCUGCCGUGAAAGUCCGGGGCUCAACUCCGGAUCUGCGGUGGGUACGGGCAGACUAGAGUGAUGUAGGGGAGACUGGAAUUCCUGGUGUAGCGGUGAAAUGCGCAGAUAUCAGGAGGAACACCGAUGGCGAAGGCAGGUCUCUGGGCAUUAACUGACGCUGAGGAGCGAAAGCAUGGGGAGCGAACAGGAUUAGAUACCCUGGUAGUC